UGGCGAAUAGGUUAAGUUUAAACUCUGGGGUUCAUGUCCCCACAAUAUGUGUUUCAUUUUGCUGA
rnacentral:tRNA from 1 species